GUGUAUGACUGGUGACCAUUCGGGAAACAAGAGGAACACAUAAAAAAGGAAUGUUCGGGAAUAAAAUAGCAGGAAUGAAAAGGAAUGAUUGUUCCUUAUCAAUUUUAUCAAGGAACAAUUUUGUUUUUUAAUUCUCUACAAAAAAAGGAAUGAAAGGGAAUGAGAGAGAAUUAUUAUUCCUUUUGAAUGGUGAUUUUUUUUAGGAACGUUAAGGAAUGCAUUAUUCCUCGCCGUUCCCUGGUCACCAUUCAUACCC
rnacentral:lncRNA from 1 species